UACGGAGGGUGCAAGCGUUAUCCGGAUUUACUGGGUUUAAAGGGUGCGUAGGUGGGCAGGAAAGUCAGUGGUGAAAUCUCCGGGCUUAACCCGGAAACUGCCAUUGAUACUAUUUGUCUUGAAUACUUUGGAGGUAAGCGGAAUAUGUCAUGUAGCGGUGAAAUGCUUAGAUAUGACAUAGAACACCAAUUGCGCAGGCAGUUAACUAUUCUGUUACUGACAUUGAGGCAUGAAAGCGUGGGGAGCAAAACGG
rnacentral:rRNA from 1 species